GUAAAGGAAUUAAUCCAUCAUUUUGGGUUGAAGUUCGUAGGUUUCAGUGCGAGAUUAUCACCAUCGUCGUCGUCGUCGUCGUCGUCGUCAAAUGUGAUGUGUGAGAAAGAUGAACUGACAGUUGUGAAUCUCUCCUCAAUUGGAAACCGAUUGUAUUGAAAUCUUCCAUUGGAGUUCACGUUUUCUCCUUCGGCGCUCAUCAAAUUCACAGGCAAAUUACGGGCUAUCAGCUUCGUGUAAUAGCCUCGCCAGGUUUCACUCGCUCUUUUGUUCUUGGAUUUUGUUUUUAUCGUGUUGUUGAGGGAUACAACAUUGAUGUGUGAUCUGGUUUGAAGAGAUAUGCAGAGAGAAAAUAGUAUUAACUAUCCCGCCAGCCCUAGGCUUCGACACCGCAGGCGAUCGAAUGAGGGGAUUGCGGAGGAUUUGAAGCUAAAUGGAAGCAAUUUACUUGUUAAUGACAGAAAUAAAUACAAGUCAAUGUUAGUUCGUGCCUAUUCAUCUGUCUGGAUGAUUGGAGGGUUUGCAUUAGUAAUAUACCUUGGACAUCUAUAUAUUAUGGCUAUGGUGGUUGUAAUCCAAAUCUUUAUGGCUCGAGAACUCUUCAAUCUACUCAGGAGGACCCAUGAAGAUAGGCAGCUCCCAGGAUUCCGGUUAUUAAACUGGUACUUCUUCUUCACGGCAAUGUUUUUUGUUUAUGGCCGCCUUCUCAGUCAACGGCUUGUCAAUACUGUAACAACAGAUAAAGUUCUAUAUCAGCUUGUCAGCUACCUCGUCAAGUAUCAUAUGGCCAUUUGUUAUUUCUUGUAUAUUGCAGGUUUUAUGUGGUUCAUUCUUACUUUAAAAAAGAAAAUGUACAAAUAUCAGUUUGGCCAGUAUGCGUGGACACACAUGAUCUUGAUAGUUGUGUUUACACAGUCUUCAUUCACUGUUGCUAACAUCUUCGAAGGAAUCUUCUGGUUUCUUCUUCCAGCAACACUCAUUGUAAUAAAUGAUAUUGCUGCAUACUUCUUUGGAUUUUUCUUUGGAAAAACCCCGUUGAUCAAAAUAUCUCCAAAGAAAACUUGGGAGGGAUUCAUAGGAGCCUCUGUGACAACUAUUAUCUCGGCAUUUAUGCUUGCAAACAUCAUGGGUCGAUUCAGUUGGCUCACUUGUCCAAGAAAGGAUUUAUCAACUGGGUGGCUUCACUGUGAUCCGGGUCCUUUGUUCUCACCAGAAUAUUUUACUUUACCUGGAUGGAUUCCUUCAUGGGUCAGUAAAGUGUUCCCAUGGAAAGAUGUCACCAUUUUGCGAGUUCAGUGGCAUGCUAUAUGUCUUGGUUUGUUUGCAUCAAUAAUAGCUCCUUUUGGUGGCUUCUUUGCUAGCGGCUUCAAAAGAGCUUUUAAAAUCAAGGAUUUUGGUGAUAGCAUUCCUGGACAUGGUGGAAUCACAGAUAGGAUGGAUUGCCAGAUGGUGAUGGCCGUGUUUUCAUACAUCUAUCAUCAAUCAUUCGUCGUGUCUCAGAGUAUCACCGUUGAAUCAAUUAUUGACCAGAUACUAAUGAACCUUACAUUUGAGGAGCAACAACUUCUUUUCACGAAGCUUGGGCAAAUGCUGCAAGACAGGCUGUUCUCGCAAUAGCAACUAGCUUAUUGCCCAUCUCAUUAUUCAUCAAUAAAGCAUGUAAUAGAGAGAGAUGAGGGAGACAACCCAACCCUUGGUACUUGUGGAUAGGUGUAAGAAGCAUGCUUUGAACAUUCUCAAAUGAAUGGGAAACCUCCUCUGCAUUUAGCGCAGUAAAGAAGGCAAUUUAGUACAUACUUGACUCAAGCUGAUACUCAAGAAAAGGAGGGACGCGGUGUAAUUUAUCCUUGCAAAGCGUUGGCAAUAGUUAUUUGCUGUUGCAAAUAGUUCUCAGUAUGGAGUUUGGGCUUUGAGUGAAUGACUAACAUUGAGGAGAGGUUGAACUACCAAAUCCACAGCUAUGAUGUUCUUGAUGAGUAAGAUGAGAAGAUUAGCGAAGUGUCAUUGUAUAAUCACCCGUUUUUUAUGAGAGGAAAAAUAUGUUUUGAA